UGCCCACCGUACUGGAUCCAGUCCUGUCUACGACAACUGGAGAGCCCAUCAACUGCAACCGCACCCAUGAUCGUCACCCCAGCUCACAAGCGAACAAUUCUGGUCGUUUGCUUCACGACAGGUUGCACGAGUAGGUUGUUCUGCGGUAGACCUACACUCGAUGGGGUCGAGUUUUUUCCACCUACAAGAAGUUGAUGGGGACAUCAGAGCCGUUCGAUUAGAUGAUCGAGCCAUCAGAGCCCCUCGUUCAGAUGAUGGAGUCAAUUAGUUGCUUUUGUUAUUGGUCGAGUCAGUUUGGUUAGUUUUUAUUUUAGUAAGUCAAUUAGGUUAACUGUUGAGUCAAGUGAUUGCAUCAAUUGAUUAAUAUAAGACCUAGGUAUAAAGAUCCAAUUUUGGGUGUGACCAAUUAGUUUAAUGGUCUAAUGUUAGUAAGGUUUAAUUUGGUAUGUAAAGUCAAUUAAUUGAAGGGUACAAGUUUGGUUAGUUGUUAAUUGUUUGACUUGGUCAAUUCAUGAUGUAAAGCCUAUAUAAAGGCCACCCUGCUCAUGAAUUAGAGGAGUUGAAUGAUUGAAUAAACCCUAGCCUUCUUUCUU
rnacentral:lncRNA from 1 species